GGAAGGUUGCCAGAGCGGACGAAUGGGGCGGCCUCGAAAGCCGCUGUGGCCUCCGGGUCACCAAGGGUUCGAAUCCCUUAUCUUCCUCCA
rnacentral:tRNA from 3 species